AGAAUGGGGGAGCAGAGCAUUCCUCUCCAGAGCCUCUCCCCUUGCAGAGCCAGGACCCACUGCAAGCGGUCACUGUUGGCAAAGCCCAGCUAGAACAGUUCUCCCUGAGCAGCGAUGCCAAACAAGAAUUUGACACGGCUCCUUGUCGCAUGCAUUUGACAGCCAUCUUGCAGGAGCUGAAGGCCCCACUCUACUUGAACGGUGAAGACAUCUUCAUUCCCAAUUGUGACACCAAAGGCUUCUACAGGCGGAAGCAGUGUCGGGCAUCCAAAGGGCAGAAGAGAGGCCAGUGCUGGUGUGUGGAUAAGAGAGGCCACCGGCUGGAAGGGCUGGAGGCCACCCCGCUUUGUCUGCUUGCCAACAGUGACUGAGUGGGGGCCAGGGGGCAGGCACCACGCUCCAGCAACAGAGACAACAAGAGGAAUCUCUCUACUAGAACGGUCCCAGAAAUAUUUGCUUCUAACUUAUUGUGUGGUUGCCGCCUUGCUGAGCUCCUGCAUGCCCUGGUGUAAUCUCGGAGCAGCUAUUGCAUUGGGGAACAGCUCACAAAAGGACAAGAGGAGCCUGGACUGGCAGCAUCAGGGCGACAGCAGAUGGGAGGCUUCCGACUGUAUUACUGGAGAUGCUUUGUAUAAGCUAUGAGCAGCUGUGCUGCAAAGCUGUGCUCGCACCUGAGCCAGCUGUUUGGUACAUGUGGCAUGCCUCCCUGGUGCUAAGCAAGAGAACUAGACCAUGCAAAUAGUGUGUGCAGGAACAUUCUCAAGGGAGCAUGGAUGUAGUACAGGGCCUUAGGAGAUGUUGGGAUGGGCAGAAAAGCUGGCUGAGAAAACACUGGCUAGGGUACAUCUGACAAGGUAGAAGUUGUUUGUAACUUAAAGGGGAAUGGGGACCUCUGUGUAGAAAGACUAGUAGUAGAGUUAUCAUGGGGAGCCCAUAUAUAUAUCAUCCACAAAGAUCUCCUUCAUACCCAAAUCCGACUGGUUCUCAGUCUCCUUUCUCUAUAGCAGCUCACAGUAAGACCUAGCAGGAUGGUGGGAAUUAAUGGCUUCUUUCGCCUCAGAAAGCACAAUUGUGUGGUGGAUCUUUCCCUAUUUGCUGCAACAUGCUUUAAUUUAAUUUCUGUGCUUGAGGGGGUGGGUUUUGACAAAUGUAAGGCUCACUGUCAUUAGCUGCAAUACAUCUGAUGACAACAAUACUUUCCUAUUGGUCCCUGUGAAUUGCCUGGCAUGUCGCCUCAGGAAAAUUUACGAGAGCUCAGAGUAACUAAGAACAACUUUUGCUUCUUUCCUAAAAGAAGCAAAAGUGGAGAAGUAAUGAAAAAGGAACUGCAUGCAGCCGUUAAAACUAGAUUUGCAGUUUAAUUUCCAUUGUCUAUAUAAGCAGCCAAACGGUUCAUUCCUAACACGCUCAGGACAUUAAAUAAUUAAUUGUUAAAUAAUUUAUUUCCAAGCAAGUGGUGCAUCAAGACGGGAGACUAUUGUUAUCACAGUAGGGUGCGGCAAGUUAUUCUCAAACGUGGGUGCCUGGAAGCAAAGCAUUCAGAAAGAUGUAAUAUAGCAUGCAAAGGAAAUGUCACCAUUUAGUAGUUGGCAUGAUAGAAGAGCUCUGGAAAGGCUCCAAAUGAAUGCUGUUUUACGCAUUAGCACUAUCACUCUUGGGUACCUGUCUUCCCCUCCAUGCUCUGUGUAAACAAACAUAGGCCUCCCAAUGCUGUAGUUUUUCUAAGUAUGAGCCAAAAAUAAACUUUAAAAAUUGCACUGCUAUUCCUAGAACCUUAUUGCUCAGAAAGAGGAGAGUUAGAGCAGGACAGCCUUCUGCUCUGGACAGUUAGAGACAGAGCAAUAAAGACCUAUACUACCUUCUA